rnacentral:tmRNA from 1 species
GGGGGUGCAAUGGUUUCGACAGGGUCGGUGCGGUCAGAUAAGCGAGUAGAUGAGCUUAACAUCUUUAAAAUAAGCAACUUAAAAUUAAACGAUAACAAUAGAUUAUCUUUCGCUGCCUAGUUGCGGCGCGGUCGUGUAUCUCUGACCUGCAAGGGAUAUAACGAUUGUCAAAUUUUAGCAGGGACCUAUACUUUGGGUGUCUUGACAAAGCAUAGUAUCAAUUAAGGCUCGCGGGUUAUAAUUUUGUUCGUUUGAUAAUAGCUCGUUAAAUUUUAAAACAAACUGCACUCGGAGAAAGUCUGGUUUACCCGGUUUUGGACGGGGGUUCGAUUCCCCCCACCUCCACCA